rnacentral:rRNA from 1 species
UUGGACAAUGGUAGGAGAGCGUUCUAAGGGCGUUGAAGCAUGAUCGCAAGGACAUGUGGAGCGCUUAGAAGUGAGAAUGCCGGUGUGAGUAGCGAAAGACGGGUGAGAAUCCCGUCCACCGAUUGACUAAGGUUUCCAGAGGAAGGCUCGUCCGCUCUGGGUUAGUCGGGUCCUAAGCUGAGGCCGACAGGCGUAGGCGAUGGAUAACAGGUUGAUAUUCCUGUACCACCAUUAUUCGUUUUAAGCGAUGGGGGGACGCAGUAGGAUAGGCGAAGCGUGCUGUUGGAGUGCACGUCCAAGCAGUGAGAUUGAGUGUUAGGCAAAUCCGGCACUCUUAAGAUUGAGCUGUGAUGGGGAGAGGAACUUGUUCCUCGAGUCGUUGAUUUCACACUGCCGAGAAAAGCCUCUAGCUAGAAUAACGGUGCCCGUACCGCAAACCGACACAGGUAGUCAAGAUGAGAAUUCUAAGGUGAGCGAGCGAACUCUCGUUAAGGAACUCGGCAAAAUGACCCCGUAACUUCGGGAGAAGGGGUGCUCUUUGAGGUUCACGCUUCGAAGAGCCGCAGUGAAUAGGCCCAAGCGACUGUUUAUCAAAAACACAGGUCUCUGCUAAACCGUAAGGUGACGUAUAGGGGCUGACGCCUGCCCGGUGCUGGAAGGUUAAGAGGAGUGGUUAGCGCAAGCGAAGCUACGAAUCGAAGCCCCAGUAAACGGCGGCCGUAACUAUAACGGUCCUAAGGUAGCGAAAUUCCUUGUCGGGUAAGUUCCGACCCGCACGAAAGGCGUAACGAUUUGGGCACUGUCUCAACGAGAGACUCGGUGAAAUCAUAGUACCGGUGAAGAUGCCGGUUACCCGCGACAGGACGGAAAGACCCCGUGGAGCUUUACUGUAGCCUGAUAUUGAAAUUCGGUACAGUUUGUACAGGAUAGGUAGGAGCCUUAGAAGCGUGAGCGCUAGCUUACGUGGAGGCAUUGGUGGGAUACUACCCUAAUUGUAUUGGAUUUCUAACCCGCAGCACUUAUCGUGCUGGGAGACAGUGUCAGGCGGGCAGUUUGACUGGGGCGGUCGCCUCCUAAAGAGUAACGGAGGCGCUCAAAGGUUCCCUCAGAAUGGUUGGAAAUCAUUCAUAGAGUGUAAAGGCAUAAGGGAGCUUGACUGCGAGACCUACAAGUCGAGCAGGGUCGAAAGACGGACUUAGUGAUCCGGUGGUUCCGCAUGGAAGGGCCAUCGCUCAACGGAUAAAAGCUACCCCGGGGAUAACAGGCUUAUCUCCCCCAAGAGUUCACAUCGACGGGGAGGUUUGGCACCUCGAUGUCGGCUCAUCGCAUCCUGGGGCUGUAGUCGGUCCCAAGGGUUGGGCUGUUCGCCCAUUAAAGCGGUACGCGAGCUGGGUUCAGAACGUCGUGAGACAGUUCGGUCCCUAUCCGUCGUGGGCGUAGGAAAUUUGAGAGGAGCUGUCCUUAGUACGAGAGGACCGGGAUGGACAUACCUCUGGUGUACCAGUUGUCGUGCCAACGGCAUAGCUGGGUAGCUAUGUAUGGACGGGAUAAGUGCUGAAAGCAUCUAAGCAUGAAGCCCCCCUCGAGAUGAGAUUUCCCAACUUCGGUUAUAAGAUCCCUCAAAGAUGAUGAGGUGAAUAGGUUCGAGGUGGAAGCGUAGCGAUACGUGGAGCUGACGAAUACUAAUCGAUCGAAGACUUAAUCAA